rnacentral:tRNA from 1 species
AUCUAAAUAGUUUAAUUAAAAUGUUGGUUUGUGGUGCCGGAGAUAUAGUUUUUAUUUUAGAUU